AUUGAACGCUGGCGGCAUGCCUUACACAUGCAAGUCGAACGGCAGCACGGGUGCUUGCACCUGGUGGCGAGUGGCGAACGGGUGAGUAAUAUAUCGGAACGUACCUUAUUGUGGGGGAUAACGCAGCGAAAGCUGUGCUAAUACCGCAUAAUCCCUAAGGGGGAAAGCGGGGGACCGUAAGGCCUCGCGCAAUUAGAGCGGCCGAUACCUGAUUAGCUAGUUGGUGAGGUAAAGGCUCACCAAGGCAACGAUCAGUAGCUGGUCUGAGAGGAGGAGCAGCCACACUUGGACUGAGACACGGCCCAGACUCCUACGGGAGGCAGCAGUGGGGAAUAUUGGGCAAUGGGCGCAAGCCUGACCCAGCCAUGCCGCGUGAGUGAUGAAGGCCUUCGGGUCGUAAAGCUCUGUGGGGAGGGAAGAACCAGUCUGUGGCUAACAUCCACGGGCCUUGACGGUACCUCCUUAGCAAGCACCGGCUAACUCCGUGCCAGCCGCCGCGGUAA
rnacentral:rRNA from 1 species